AGGCUGUGAUAUGAAUAAUUAUACCAUCAAACUUUGAAAGUUUAUAUAUUAAACUUGUUGAUUCAAAUACAAUUCUCUGAUGCCU